rnacentral:rRNA from 1 species
CGAACGCUGGCGGCGUGCUUAACACAUGCAAGUCGAACGGUGAAGCCCAGCUUGCUGGGUGGAUCAGUGGCGAACGGGUGAGUAACACGUGAGUAACCUGCCCCUGACUCUGGGAUAAGCCUUGGAAACGAGGUCUAAUACCGGAUACGUGACGCUCAGGCAUCUGAUGCGUCUGGAAAGAUUUAUCGGUCAGGGAUGGACUCGCGGCCUAUCAGCUUGUUGGUGGGGUAACGGCCCACCAAGGCGACGACGGGUAGCCGGCCUGAGAGGGCGACCGGCCACACUGGGACUGAGACACGGCCCAGACUCCUACGGGAGGCAGCAGUGGGGAAUAUUGCACAAUGGGCGCAAGCCUGAUGCAGCGACGCCGCGUGAGGGAUGAAGGCCUUCGGGUUGUAAACCUCUUUCAGCAGGGAAGAAGCGCAAGUGACGGUACCUGCAGAAGAAGCGCCGGCUAACUACGUGCCAGCAGCCGCGGUAAUACGUAGGGCGCAAGCGUUGUCCGGAAUUAUUGGGCGUAAAGAGCUCGUAGGCGGUUUGUCGCGUCUGCUGUGAAAACUCGAGGCUCAACCUCGGGCUUGCAGUGGGUACGGGCAGACUAGAGUGCGGUAGGGGAGACUGGAAUUCCUGGUGUAGCGGUGGAAUGCGCAGAUAUCAGGAGGAAAACCGAUGGCGAAGGCAGGUCUCUGGGCCGCAACUGACGCUGAGGAGCGAAAGCAUGGGGAGCGAACAGGAUUAGAUACCCUGGUAGUCCAUGCCGUAAACGUUGGGCACUAGGUGUGGGGCUCAUUCCACGAGUUCCGUGCCGCAGCAAACGCAUUAAGUGCCCCGCCUGGGGAGUACGGCCGCAAGGCUAAAACUCAAAGAAAUUGACGGGGG